rnacentral:rRNA from 1 species
UGAGGAAUAUUGGUCAAUGGACGAAAGUCUGAACCAGCCAAGUAGCGUGCAGGAUGACGGCCCUCUGGGUUGUAAACUGCUUUUAGUUGGGAAUAAAAAAGAGGACGUGUCCUCUAUUGUAUGUACCUUCAGAAAAAGGACCGGCUAAUUCCGUGCCAGCAGCCGCGGUAAUACGGAAGGUCCAGGCGUUAUCCGGAUUUAUUGGGUUUAAAGGGAGCGUAGGCGGAUUGUUAAGUCAGCGGUUAAAGGGUGUGGCUCAACCAUGCAUUGCCGUUGAAACUGGCGAUCUUGGGUGCAGACAGGGAUGCCGGAAUUCGUGGUGUAGCGGUGAAAUGCUUAGAUAUCACGAAGAACUCCGAUCGCGAAGGCAGGUGUCCGGGCUGCAACUGACGCUGAGGCUCGAAAGUGUGGGUAUCAAACAGGAUUAGAUACCCUGGUAGUCCACACAGUAAACGAUGUAUACUCGCGGUUUGCGAUAGACAGUAAGCCGCCAAGCGAAAGCAUUAAGUAUACCACCUGGGGAGUACGCCGGCAACGGUG